GGGUGGUUUCACCCACUUACAGUGUUUAAUGGCAGGUAAAAAAAAACACGUGUCGUUUAGUUUUUAGUCUACUAUAACAUAAUACAAAAGAAAUGCAAUCGGAGAGAUCGACUUGGGAUACCUUCCUCGUGACAGGAUGAAAUACAAGUUCCGUGAGACGACA